GCGGCGGUAGCUUAGUGGUAGAAAGCUGGCCAGCCACCCUAGUGGUCCAGGGUUCGAUUCCCAGUCGACGCA
rnacentral:tRNA from 1 species